CCUACGGGAGGCAGCAGUGAGGAAUAUUGGUCAAUGGGCGCGAGCCUGAACCAGCCAAGUAGCGUGCAGGAUGACUGCCCUACGGGUUGUAAACUUCUUUUAUAAAGGAAUAAAGUGAGGCACGUGUGCCUUUUUGUAUGUACUUUAUGAAUAAGGAUCGGCUAACUCCGUGCCAGCAGCCGCGGUAAUACGGGGGAUGCAAGCGUUAUCCGGAUUUAUUGGGUUUAAAGGGUGCGUAGGCUGGGAGGUAAGUCAGCGGUGAAAUGCCCCCGCGUAACGGGGUGAAGUGCCAUUGAUACUGCCUGGCUGGAAUGCUGAUGCCGUGGGAGGAAUGUGUGGUGUAGCGGUGAAAUGCUUAGAGAUCACACAGAACACCGAUUGCGAAGGCAGCUCACGAAGCCGCGAUUGACGCUGAUGCACGAAAGCGUGGGUAUCAAACAGGAUUAGAUACCCGGGUAGUC
rnacentral:rRNA from 1 species